rnacentral:rRNA from 1 species
UGGGGAAUUUUGGACAAUGGGGGAAACCCUGAUCCAGCCAUCCCGCGUGUGCGAUGAAGGCCUUCGGGUUGUAAAGCACUUUUGGCAGGAAAGAAACGUCAUGGGUUAAUACCCCGUGAAACUGACGGUACCUGCAGAAUAAGCACCGGCUAACUACGUGCCAGCAGCCGCGGUAAUACGUAGGGUGCAAGCGUUAAUCGGAAUUACUGGGCGUAAAGCGUGCGCAGGCGGUUCGGAAAGAAAGAUGUGAAAUCCCAGAGCUCAACUUUGGAACUGCAUUUUUAACUACCGGGCUAGAGGGUGUCAGAGGGAGGUGGAAUUCCGCGUGUGGCAGUGAAAUGCGUAGAUAUGCGGAGGAACACCGAUGGCGAAGGCAGCCUCCUGGGAUAACACUGACGCUCAUGCACGAAAGCGUGGGGAGCAAACAGG